CUGGACGCGAGCUGGGCCC
rnacentral:miRNA from 1 species